rnacentral:rRNA from 1 species
UACGUAGGGUGCGAGCGUUAAUCGGAAUUACUGGGCGUAAAGCGUGCGCAGGCGGUUUUGUAAGCCAGUCGUGAAAUCCCCGGGCUCAACCUGGGAAUGGCGAUUGGGACUGCAAGGCUUGAGUAUGGCAGAGGGGACUGGAAUUCCUGGUGUAGCAGUGAAAUGCGUAGAUAUCAGGAGGAAUACCGAUGGCGAAGGCAGGUCCCUGGGCUGAUACUGACGCUCAUGCACGAAAGCGUGGGGAGCAAACAGG